AAGUCGUAACAAGGUUUCCGUAGGUGAACCUGCGGAAGGAUCAUUAGCGAAGCUCGGAACGUCGUAUUCGAUACUGAAGCUGCCCGGCAACGGGAUGUGCUCGUGUCGGUGCGAUGUCCCCUUCACUAUCCACCCCACUGUGAACCAAAGUGUGCGAGUCCGAAAGGGAAACCGGACGGCUUGCAUGCGAACCUUUAACAUACCCCAAUGAAGUAUCAGAAUGUAACUUGCGUUAACUCGCACAAAUAUAACUUUCAACAACGGAUCUCUUGGCUCUC
rnacentral:misc_RNA from 1 species